GUGACAGCCGCCGCGGUAAUACCCGCAGCUCAAGUGGUGGUCAUUAUUAUUGGGCCUAAAGCGUCCGUAGCUGGUUUGUUAAAUGCCUGGGUAAAUCGAUGCGCUUAACGUAUCGAAUUCCGGGUAGACUGGCAAACUCGAGACCGGGAGAGGUGUAGGCUACUCGAGGGGUAGGGGUAAAAUCCUGUAAUCCUUCGGGGAGGACCAGUGGCGAAGGCGCUACACUAGAACGGCUCUGACAGUGAGGGACGAAGCCCUGGGGCGCAAACCGGAUUAGAUACCCGCGUAGUCC
rnacentral:rRNA from 1 species